rnacentral:rRNA from 1 species
UACGGAGGGUGCUAGCGUUGUUCGGAAUUACUGGGCGUAAAGGGCGCGUAGGCGGCCGUUUGCGUCGGAUGUGAAAGCCCGGGGCUCAACCUCGGAACGGCAUUCGAUACGGGACGGCUAGAGACCGGGAGAGGAGAGUGGAAUAGCCAGUGUAGAGGUGAAAUUCGUAGAUAUUGGCUGGAACACCGGUGGCGAAAGCGGCUCUCUGGCCCGGUUCUGACGCUGAGGCGCGAAAGCGUGGGGAGCAAACGGG